CUAAGAAUAUUCCGCAAUGGACGAAAGUCUGACGGAGCGACGCCGCGUGGAUGACGAAGGCCGAAAGGUUGUAAAAUCCUUUUGCUGGGGAAGAAUAAGCGCAGGAGGGAAUGCCUGCGUGAUGACAUGAACCGGCGAAUAAGCCCCGGCUAACUACGUGCCAGCAGCCGCGGUAACACGUAGGGGGCGAGCGUUGUUCGGAAUUACUGGGCGUAAAGGGCAUGUAGGCGGCCUUGUAAGCCUGGCGUGAAAGUCCACGGCUCAACCGUGGGAUUGCGUCGGGAACUGCGAGGCUCGAGUGACGGAGGGGGAGCUAGAAUUCCUGGUGUAGGGGUGAAAUCUGUAGAUAUCAGGAAGAAUACCAAUGGCGAAGGCAAGCUCCUGGCCGAUGACUGACGC
rnacentral:rRNA from 1 species